GGAAUGUAAAUUAAUUCAACUAUUGUAUAAAACAGUGUGGCAAUUCCUGAAAGACUUAAAAACAGAAUUACCAUUUGACCCAGCAAUCCCAUUACUGGGUAGAUACCCAAAGAAUAUCAAUCAUUCUACUAUAAAGAGACAGGCAUGCGUAUGUUCAUUGCAGCACUACUCACAAUAGCAAAGACAUGGAAUCAAUCUAAUGCCCAUCAAUGGUAGACUGGAUAAAAGAAAAGGUGGUACGUAUACACCAUGGAAUACUCUGGGAGGGAAGAAGAGAGAAGACAUUUAUGGAGAAUAAGACAGGAAACAGAAAGCUUUGAAAGAAUCUGUAGAUAUAACUUCAUUUAAUUUAAUUUAACAAAGAUCUGCAGCAAAUUGGCAAA
rnacentral:lncRNA from 1 species